rnacentral:rRNA from 1 species
CCUACGGGCGGCUGCAGUGGGGAAUAUUGGACAAUGGGCGAAAGCCUGAUCCAGCCAUGCCGCGUGUGUGAAGAAGGCCUUCGGGUUGUAAGGCACUUUCAGUGGGGAAGAAAGCCUUGGGGCUAAUACCCUCGAGGAAGGACAUCACCCACAGAAGAAGCACCGGCUAACUCCGUGCCAGCAGCCGCGGUAAUACGGAGGGUGCGAGCGUUAAUCGGAAUUACUGGGCGUAAAGCGCGCGUAGGCGGUCUGAUAAGCCGGUUGUGAAAGCCCCGGGCUCAACCUGGGAACGGCAUCCGGAACUGUCAGGCUAGAGUGCAGGAGAGGAAGGUAGAAUUCCCGGUGUAGCGGUGAAAUGCGUAGAGAUCGGGAGGAAUACCAGUGGCGAAGGCGGCCUUCUGGACUGACACUGACGCUGAGGUGCGAAAGCGUGGGUAGCAAACAGGAUUAGAUACCCUAGUAGU